rnacentral:lncRNA from 1 species
CUCUUCCGCAUUUAUGAAACAGACAUGUGGAAUAAAGAUACAGAAAACAUGUAUGGAUCACAGCUGCCCUAAUAACAGAGGAAGUCAUUCAGAAAAACAAGUGGCCAACAGGGGAAAGUUGUGGUUCCCUAAACAGAAGACUCCAUUCUGGAAAAACAGCCUUUACUCCAAGGAAUGCAGUCAUCUUCACUAGAGGCUUACCUCAUUGGAGUUGUUAUAGAAAAACUCAUCAUCCUCAUCACCAGAAUUCUCUCAAGGGGACCUGAUUCCUGUCUUAUCAUUUAUUUAAAAUCCAGAUCUUCUCUACUGAAGGGAGUGAUUAUUAUCUUCUGCCACUUGCUAUCCAGAUCAAGUCUUUUCUGUUUCGAUUGUUCAUUCCACUGUGAGUAUAAAUACUGAUUCACGUGCCUCAAGCACAUCUUGAUAUCAUCCUAUCACUUUCCUUGAGAGUAUAACAAUUUAUAAUUAGGCUUGAUUUAUGUAUGCUAAUGUGUCACAUGUAUCAGACAACCAAGAGAGGUUCAGUAAAAUCAGAUACAAAAUAAGUAAGCCAUAAACCUUACCUGUUGGUGGUUGUUUUGUUUGUUUGUUUUUUGUUGUCAGUUUAGUUUUUGUAUUCCACUUAACGUGAUGUUCUUCUCUCAUGCUGAUUUGUAGAUUGCUAUUAGACUUUUAGUCUUUUCUUGCUUACAUCAAGAUUCUUGCCCAACAUGUAGAUUCCUUCAGGCUAUAAUUGUUGGUGGGAAAUUUCUUGCAGGUGUGUGAUUAUUCAACUCAUCUGAAGCACUCUAUAAAACUCAAAGUCUGUUGCAAAUUAAAAGUAGGGAAUUUACAUUUGUUCCAAGCACUAGAAUAAAAAUCUGAUUCUCUUUAUGAUAUCA